AGUGAACGCUGGCGGUAGGCCUAACACAUGCAAGUCGAACGGCAGCACAGUAAGAGCUUGCUCUUACGGGUGGCGAGUGGCGGACGGGUGAGGAAUACAUCGGAAUCUACUUUUUCGUGGGGGAUAACGUAGGGAAACUUACGCUAAUACCGCAUACGACCUACGGGUGAAAGCAGGGGAUCUUCGGACCUUGCGCGAUUGAAUGAGCCGAUGUCGGAUUAGCUAGUUGGCGGGGUAAAGGCCCACCAAGGCGACGAUCCGUAGCUGGUCUGAGGGGAUGAUCAGCCACGCUGGAACUGAGACACGGUCCAGACUCCUACGGGAGGCAGCAGUGGGGAAUAUUGGACAAAGGGCGCAAGCCUGAUCCAGCCAUACCGCGUGGGUGAAGAAGGCCUUCGGGUUGUAAAGCCCUUUUGUUGGGAAAGAAAAGCAGCAGGUUAAUACCCCGCUGUUCUGACGGUACCCAAAGAAUAAGCACCGGCUAACUUCGUG
rnacentral:rRNA from 1 species